rnacentral:rRNA from 1 species
AACGAACGCUGGCGGCAGGCUUAACACAUGCAAGUCGAACGCCCCGCAAGGGGAGUGGCAGACGGGUGAGUAACGCGUGGGAACGUGCCCUUCGCUUCGGAAUAGCCCCGGGAAACUGGGAGUAAUACCGGAUACGCCGUAUUGGGAAAGAUUUAUCGGCGAAGGAUCGGCCCGCGUUAGAUUAGCUAGUUGGCGGUGUAAUGGACCACCAAGGCUACGAUCUAUAGCUGGUCUGAGAGGAUGAUCAGCCACACUGGGACUGAGACACGGCCCAGACUCCUACGGGAGGCAGCAGUGGGGAAUCUUGGACAAUGGGCGCAAGCCUGAUCCAGCCAUGCCGCGUGAGUGAAGAAGGCCUUAGGGUUGUAAAACUCUUUCGCCGGAGAAGAUAAUGACGGUAUCCGGAGAAGAAGCCCCGGCUAACUUCGUGCCAGCCGCCGCGGUAAAAC